CUGGUGUACCGAGUGGCGAUUGAACUAGAUCCUGGUGAGUCAGUAUAAAAGACAUGCCAGUCGUGUGCUACCAAGCGGUGCAUACACACUCACUUCUCAAGAUGAAUACCAACUCUCUCCUAAUACUCCUGGCGGUGGCUAUAGCAGCAGUCCUGGCCAGUCCUGUUCCUUCUCCAGGCAAUCAGUAUUACAAUUAUGGUCAUCCCGGUUACGGCACUGUAUAUUACAGUAAGCAAAGCUAUCCUUCGUACCGCCAAGUGACCCCACAUUACGUGUCGCGCCCUUACACAUCACCUCUGAUUCCCAUUCAUAUCGGAGGGUACGGCUAUGGUCAAGCAUACUACGGAUACGGAGGCAAGUCACACUACUAUGGAUAAGGCUGCUGGGCGAUGAUACCAGACCAUCGUUGUUCACCAUCGGCGUCUACACAAAUUCUUUUACCUUAUUUAUGCCAAGCUCGUCCUAAGCACCUGUACCCUUCCGAUGCUUCCAGGUCACUGUUUAUUUGGGAUGUGAAGUGAGCCAAAUAAAACACAAAAUAAAAGUAAAAAAUAA